rnacentral:other from 13 species
CGCCGGCCAAGACAGCACAGACAGGACUGACUUAGGUGUUUCUCGAACGUGAGAGGUGAGCGCCGCGGCCUCCUGUCCCAGACCUGCCUUCGCCUUGUUCUUGGCUCCUUGUGACCCCGGAGCCCUGCCGCCCUCAGACCCAUAACCUCGCUGCGCUCCUGUGCUGCGGCCUGUGGUAGGAUUGCCUACGACGUCCUGCCUGCCUGGUGACCGACUCGCCGGCAAGAUGAAGCUCUCCCUGGUGGCAGCGAUGCUGCUG